rnacentral:lncRNA from 1 species
AGUGUAUGUAUUGGAAUCCAACAAAUUAAUUUGAUCAGAUGGUUUGAUCAAUUCUAAAUAUAGGUUUAGAAUUUGAUCAAGUUUGAACAUGAUUGUGAUUUGACUCUAGUUUUAUAUGCUAGAGAAUCGAAUAUUUUGGGAAUUGGGAUGUUCGUGAAAAUUGAACUUGAGUUUAGUUUAACGACAUUUCGGUCGAUAUCGGAUUUAGGUUUAGUUUAACGACGUUUCGGUCGAUUGAUUUGGUGGAUUAGUUUAACGACGUUUCGGUCGAUGGUUUGGGUUUGGUUCACAAGGUUUAUGGUAUUGGGUAUAUGGGAUUAUGGUUCAUGAACUUAGAUAUGGUUCAUGGGUUUAUGGUUCAUGGACUUAUGGUUCAUGGGUUUAUGGUUCAUGGACUUAUGGUUCAUGGGUUUAUGGUUCAU